CAGAGUCUCAAUCCAGGAAGGCAGCAGGCGCGUAAAUUACCCAAUCCUGACACGGGGAGGUAGUGACAAGAAAUAACAAUACGGGGCAUCUAUAUGUCUUGUAAUUGGAAUGAGUACAAUCUAAAUCCCUUAACGAGGAUCAAUUGGAGGGCAAGUCUGGUGCCAGCAGCCGCGGUAAUUCCAGCUCCAAUAGCGUAUAUUAAUGUUGUUGCAGUUAAAAAGCUCGUAGUUGGAUUUCUGUGGGAGCGGGUCCGCCCCUCACGGGGUGUGAUGUGCGUCUUUGCAUCCUUGGCAGAGCUUUCGGCAUUAAUUGUGCGGUCGGGAUGCCAUCUUUACUGUGAAAAAAUUAGAGUGUUUAAAGCAGGCGUUUGCUGUGAAUACAUUAGCAUGGAAUAAUAAGAUAGGACUUUGGUACUAUUUUGUUGGUUUGUAUACCGAGGUAAUGAUUAAUAGGGACAGUUGGGGGUAUUCGUAUUUAAUUGUCAGAGGUGAAAUUCUUGGAUUUAUGAGAGACGAACUACUGCGAAAGCAUUUACCAAGGAUGUUUCAUUAAUCAAGAACGAAAGUUAGGGGAUCGAAGAUGAUUAGAUACCAUCGUAGUCUUAACCAUAAACUAUGCCGACUCGGGAUUGGCGCGUUAAUUAUGGCUUGGCCCUUAGAAUAAGUUUUGGUCGGGGGGUUGCAAGCAACUUAAGAAUUGGGGAGGCCACCAAGGGUUGCGUUAUUAUUAGGAAAAUCAGGUUCAGGCAAUAAGGUGAGUAAUUUUGGGGGCUUGGUUGUAUCUAACCAAGCUUAAGACUUCUUAGAGGGACAUUUCGGUUUUACCGGAAGGAAGUUUGAGGCAAUACAUGCCA
rnacentral:rRNA from 1 species